UCUAUCAUUCAUCUAUCAUCAUCUAUCAUCUAUCUGUCUAUUAAUCACCUAUGAUCUAUCAUCUAUCAUAUUCUUUGUCUCAACUGUGCUUAAUGACCCAAAGCAAACUAGCCGAAGUCAGUGAACGGCAGCUGACAGAUCAUGGCUCCACCACUUACCAGCUGAUGUAGUUGCUCAGCCUCAGAUCCAGUGUCAUCAUCUAUAAACUGAGCAAUACCUACUUCCAGGUAGAGACACACAGAUAGAGUGCACGAUGGAGCCCAGUGCAAAGCAGUAACUCAGUAAGUGACAGCCUGAGGAUUCUAGGUAUGCAGAUCUGCUACGAUCUUCAUACGAUGGAGCCCAGUGCAAAGCAGUAACUCAGUAAGUGACAGCCUGAGGAUUCUAGGUAUGCAGAUCUGCUAUGAGGUGGAGGACAGCAGAGGGCCGCCGCCAGAUGGAUGGGUCACACAUGCAGUAGGGAGACUGAAGCCACUUAAAGAGUCUGUGUCAGAUUCAAAGCCAAGCUCAUAAAUGUUACUUCCUGGAUGCUGAGGCUCCUGUAAACAUACCCAAAUCUAAUUUCUGCUUAUAUCUUUAUGAUUCAAUUCUAUUUUAUAACAGAGUCAGACAUUCCCAGCAGCUCACUUCUAGGAGAUUGGCAAAAUUUAUGGUUCAGGCAUCGAGUCUCAGUCCAAGUGCUUACACCAAGAUGAGCCUUUUGGACCAGCGCAUCCCUGUCCGGGUGUUCUGUGGAGUUUAUCCAUAGACAGAAUUUCUUUGGGGAAAUCUUCAUGCCUUUUGAACAUGGUGCAGUUGACGAAACCGCAGGUGCAGUUUGCCCGGGACACAGCUACUGUGUGAGGUGAAGCAGAGCCAUGAAGAGACUGAGACAAAGGCGGCCAUCGUUUGUUAGGAGGGAGCGGCAGCAUGUAAGCAUGGGCUCGAGCACAUGAAGAAGGAAAGAAAGCGUUAGAGGCCGGAAUGUCUCAGCCAGGAAGCAGUCCCACUUCAGAUGCACUGAAAAGAUGGAAACAGAAAAUGCAGCGCCUUGAUUCGUGUGUCUGUCCGUCCGCCCGUCCGUCUGUCCGUCCAUCUGCCUGUCUGUGUUUUGGUGUAUAUAGAGGCUCUAGGCCAACCUUUGGUGGUGUCCCUCAGGUGCUG